AUGGAGUUCUGAGAAGCACCAGUGAAGACAUCAGUCUUGAAGACCCUCGUCCAUGUCCAAUCCUUGCUAGAUGGUCUUAUCAGUGGUCCCCCUGAUGUCUCAGCCCUCUGAGGAAAGCAUUUGGACCUGGCCUGGCCGAGGGGUACUGCAUGAGGAGCUUUUUCAGGUCACAGGCUGUCUGGGCUUUCUCCGCCUAAGUGGAUGUGUUUGCAAAGUGAAUGAGUGACCUUUCAUUCCUGGACACCCAGAGGGCCAAUCAGUCUGUUCUUGCUCCACUGAGAAAACUGAAUAAAGUGCUUGCCACUUGAAAUGAGAGUAAGGCACAAAUAACUAUGAAAAUAAACAAGCCCCAACCCCCUCAAAGCUCAAACACAGUUGAAGCACUUUUUGUGUUUUAAGGCACCCUGAGUCUGGCAGAUGAAGAAGCCU
rnacentral:lncRNA from 1 species